CUCUCUCUCUUCCGUCGACUGACCUCUCUCCAAUCGCACCAUCCAAAGCCAUCACCACCAACAUCCACAUCGGUCGCAGAGCAAGUCCCAGACUUGCUUUGUAAAUUUCUUGUCGGUGAUGGCGUUUUCAUGCAUGUGAAAUCAUUUUAUGAGAAAGCAAAAUGAGAAAGCCAUGUGAAAUCGUUUUCUGAGAAAGCAAAAUGAGAAAGCCAUGUGCUCGCGGUUUUGAAAUCAUUUUCUGAUUUCUGAGAAAGCAAAAGAAGAAAGCCAUGUGAAAUCAUCUUCUGAGAAAGUGAAAAGAGAAAGUAAGAGCAAAAACAAAAACAAAAGCAAUAAAGGUACAGAGGAAAGGCAAAAGCAAUCAAAUGAGCUGUAGGAAACAAAAGCAAAAGCAAGGAAUAAACACACACACUGCAAAAGCAAGGUAUAAACACCCCACCAGAAUGAUAAGAUUUACUUUUCUUGUUUUUGAAUGAUGUGAUUUAUUUUUCUUAUCUUUUCGGAGACAUCUGUACAAGCCCAAAAUAAUGGGCUAAAAUGUUAUAUGAAAGGCAAAGGCCCUGCCCAAAAGAGCCAGACCCUCUAUUAUCACCAACCAGGUGAUCAAAAGUACGUCCAGUACUACAAAAAAUUAUUCGGCAGCCUGCCGCUAUUACCACCAACCAGGUGAUCAAAAGUACGUCUAGUACUACAAAAAAUUAUUCGGCAGCCUGCCGCUAUUACCACCAACCAGGUGAUCAAAAGUACGCCAGUACUCCAAAAUUAUUCGGCAGCCUGCCGCUAUUAUCACCAACCAGGUGAUCAAAAGUACGUCCAGUACUAUAAAAUUAUACAUGAGCAUCACUCAUGUCAAUCAUACAUAAACAUUUAUGAGCAUCAUUCAUGUCAAUCAUACAUAAACAUUCAUGACCAUCAUUCAUGUUAACAUUCAUGAGCAUCACUCAUGUUAACAUCCAUGAGCAUCACUCAUGUUAAUCAACAUAAACAUUCAUGAGCAUCACUCAUGUCAAUCAGCUUCGAAAACUUCAUUUACAGAGCUCCAGCUUCAAAAGCUUCAUUUAUAAAGCUCCAGCUUUAAAAGCUUCACUUGAAAAGCUUCACCUACAAAGCUUCAGUGCAGGGUAUAUAAAU
rnacentral:lncRNA from 1 species